rnacentral:rRNA from 1 species
CGAUGUGGAGUGCGGCUUAAGUAAUAGGCGACGCGCCGAGAACAAUUUUGCUGUGUGGAGGUAUGUCACAAUUAGAGGUUUUUGUGACCGUCGAGUGUAAUGCUAAAGGCACAUCAAAUGACAAACUCCCUCGGACAUAUAGGGGCCUACCAUGGUAGUGUCUUUGCCAAGUUGGAUAUCCGUGCACUGGCACCAUCGCACCCAAAUCGCCAUGGGCACAAGGAACCAACGCACCAUGAAACCAAGGCAUGAAGGCACCGUGGCACCAAUACACCAUGGCACAAAGGCAUCAUGGCACCAAGGAACCGUAGCACCAUGGCACCGAGGCACCAUGGCAUCGUGGCACCAUGCACCAAGGCGUCGUGGCACCAAGGCACCAUGGAAACAUGGCACAGGGAAGCAAGGCACCGUCGCACCAUAGAAUGAAGGCACUGUGGAAGGAAGGCACCAAGGCACCGUGGCACCAUGGCACAAAGGCACCAUGGCUUAAUGGCUCUAUGUCACCAAGUCAUCAUGGCGCCAUGGCACCGUGGCACCAAGGCACCAUGGCAUCGUGGCAGCAUGGCACCAAGGCACCAAGGCACCAAGGCAGCAAGGCACCGUGGCACAAAGGCACCAUGGCACCGUGGCACCUUGGCACCAUGGCACCGUGGCACCAUGGCACCAUGGAACCGUGGCACAAAGGCACCAUGGCACAAUGGUACCAAGGCACCGUGGCACCAUAGCACCGUGGCACCGUGGCACUAUGGCAGCAAGAAACCAUCGUGCCAAAAUCAAAAGAGUAUAAAACUACGUUCGAUCAUCCUAAUAAUUUCCUGACGUUCAUCCAUCUUCCCCACCGUCGGGGGCAUUCGUAUUUCAUAGUCAGAGGUGUAAUUAUUGGAUUUAUGAAAUACGAACAACUGAAAAAGCAUUUUCCAAGGAUGUUUUCAGUAAUCAAGAAUGACAGUUGGGGGCUCGAAGGCGAUCAGAUACCGUCCUAGUCUCAAUCAUAAAUUAUGUCGAUCAGGGAUCGUCGUAUGUUUCUUUUAGGACUCCGCCAGCACCUUAUGAGAAAUCAAAGUUUUUGAGUUCUGGGGGGAGUAUGGUCGCAAGGCUAAAACUUAAAGGAAUUGACGGAAGGGCACCACCAGGAGUGGAGCCUGCGGCUUAAUUUGACUCCACACGGGGAAACUUAACAAGUCCAAACGUAGUAAGGAUUGACAGACUGAGAGCUCUUUCUUGAUUCUAUGGGUGGUGGUUCAUGGCUGUUCUUAGUCGGUGGAGCUAUUUUUCUGGUUAAUGUCGUUAACGGACAUGACCUCAGCCUGCUAACUAGCUAUGUGGAGGUAUCCCUUCGCGGACAGAUUCUUAAAAGGAUUACGACCUUUUAUACCACAGAAGUUUGAGGCAAUAAUAGGUUUGUGAUGCCCUUAGAUGUUCUGGGCCGCACGCGCGCUACACUGAUGUAUUCAACGAGUUUAUAGCGUUGGCCGACAGGCCCGAGUAAUCUUUGAAAGUUCAUCGUGAUGGGGAUAGAUCAUUGCAAUUGUUGGUCUUCAACGAGGAAUUCCUAGUAAGAGCGAGUCAUCAGCUCGCGUUAACUACAUCCCUGCCCUUUGUACACACUGCCUGUCGCUCCUAAUGAUUGAAUGAUCUGGUGAAAUGUUCGGAUCGCGGUGAUGUGGGUGGUUCGCUGCCCACAACGUCGUGAGAAGUCCAUUGAAUCUUAUCAGUUAGAUGAAGGAGAAUUCGUAACAAGGUUUCUGUAGGUAAACCUGCGGAAG